AAGGGAAAGGAGAGAGAGAGAGAGAGAGAGAGAGAAGUGAAGAAAGGAAAGGAAGGAAGGAAGAAGGAAGGUGUGUUUAAUGUGUAGAUAGAAUUUUGUUCAUCGUUUUAUCUGUCGACUCACCGUAGAUCGAUUCCGUUUCUUGCGGCCCCGCGCACGCUUAACGCGCCGGGGUUGUCACUGUAAGGUUAAACUCCAAACGAAAGAAAUCAUGGACGCGGUAGGGAGAGCAAGGAAUAUAAUCGAAAAAGAAUAAUCGAAGAUUGUACAUUAUUGUAUUUACACGAAGCGAAGUACCUCUACCUUUGUAUUGUACACGAGCGAAAGAACGAACGAACGAACGAACGAACGAA